AGUGAACGCUGGCGGCAGGCCUAAUACAUGCAAGUCGAACGGCAGCACAGCAGAGCUUGCUCUGUGGGUGGCGAGUGGCGGACGGGUGAGGAAUACAUGGGAAUCUGCCCAGUCGUGGGGGAUAACGUAUGGAAACGUACGCUAAUACCGCAUGCGCCCUACGGGGGAAAGUCGGGGACCGCAAGGCCUGACGCGAUUGGAUGAGCCCAUGUUCGAUUAGCUAGUUGGCGGGGUAAAGGCCCACCAAGGCGACGAUCGAUAGCUGGUCUGAGAGGAUGAUCAGCCACACUGGAACUGAGACACGGUCCAGACUCCUACGGGAGGCAGCAGUAGGGAAUAUUGGACAAUGGGGGCAACCCUGAUCCAGCCAUGCCGCGUGAGUGAAGAAGGCCCUCGGGUUGUAAAGCUCUUUUGUCCGGAAAGAAAGCAAUCGGUUAAUACCCGGUUGUCCUGACGGUACCGGAA
rnacentral:rRNA from 1 species